rnacentral:rRNA from 1 species
GAUGAACGCUGGCGGCGUGCUUAACACAUGCAAGUCGAACGAUGAAGCCCAGCUUGCUGGGUGGAUUAGUGGCGAACGGGUGAGUAACACGUGAGUAACCUGCCCUUAACUCUGGGAUAAGCCUGGGAAACUGGGUCUAAUACCGGAUAGGAGCGUCCACCGCAUGGCGGGUGUUGGAAAGAUUUAUCGGUUUUGGAUGGACUCGCGGCCUAUCAGCUUGUUGGUGAGGUAAUGGCUCACCAAGGCGACGACGGGUAGCCGGCCUGAGAGGGUGACCGGCCACACUGGGACUGAGACACGGCCCAGACUCCUACGGGAGGCAGCAGUGGGGAAUAUUGCACAAUGGGCGAAAGCCUGAUGCAGCGACGCCGCGUGAGGGAUGACGGCCUUCGGGUUGUAAACCUCUUUCAGUAGGGAAGAAGCGAAAGUGACGGUACCUGCAGAAGAAGCACCGGCUAACUACGUG